CCAACAGGGAUUGCCCUAGUAACGGCGAGUGAAGCGGCAACAGCUCAAAUUUUAAAUCUGGCUCCCCCGGGGUCCGAGUUGUAAUUUGCAGAGGGUGCUUUGGCGUAGGUAGCGGUCUAAGUUCCUUGGAACAGGACAUCACAGAGGGUGAGAAUCCCGUACGUGGUCGCCAACCUUCGCCGUGUAAAGCCCCUUCGACGAGUCGAGUUGUUUGGGAAUGCAGCUCUAAAUGGGAGGUAAAUUUCUUCUAAAGCUAAAUACCGGCCAGAGACCGAUAGCGCACAAGUAGAGUGAUCGAAAGAUGAAAAGCACUUUGGAAAGAGAGUCAAAUAGCACGUGAAAUUGUUGAAAGGGAAGCGCUUGCAGUCAGACUUGCCCGUAGUUGCUCACCCAGGCUCCUGCCUGGGGCACUCUUCUGCGGGCAGGCCAGCAUCAGUUUGGGCGGCCGGACAAAGACCUCUGUCAUGUAUCUUCCUUCGGGAUGACCUUAUAGGGGAGGUGUAAUGCGGCCAGCCCGGACUGAGGUCCGCGCUUCUGCUAGGAUGCUGGCGUAAUGGCUGUAAGCGGCCCGUCUUGAAACACGGACCAAGGAGUCUAACAUCUAUGCGAGUGUUUGGGUGUCAAGCCCGGGCGCGCAAUGAAAGUGAACGGAGGUGGGAACCUUAGGGUGCACCAUCGACCGAUCCUGAUGUCUUCGGAUGGAUUUGAGUAAGAGCAUAGCUGUUGGGACCCGAAAGAUGGUGAACUAUGCUUGAAUAGGGUGAAGCCAGAGGAAACUCUGGUGGAGGCUCGCAGCGGUUCUGACGUGCAAAUCGAUCGUCAAAUUUGGGCAUAGGGGCGAAAGACUAAUCGAACCAUCUAGUAGCUGGGUUCUGCG
rnacentral:rRNA from 1 species